rnacentral:rRNA from 1 species
GACAGAGGUGGCGAGCGUUGUUCGGAAUCACUGGGCUUAAAGGGCGCGUAGGUGGUAGUGCAAGUCUGGGGUGGAAUCCUAUGGCUUAACCAUAGAAUUGCCUUGGAAACUGUGCUACUUGAGUCAGUGAGGGGAGGGUAGAAUUCCUGGUGUAGCGGUGAAAUGCGUAGAUAUCAGGAGGAAGGCCUGUGGCGAAGGCGGCCCUCUGGCGCUGAACUGACACUGAGGCGCGAAAGCGUGGGUAGCAAACAGG